AUACGGAAGGUCCGGGCGUUAUCCGGAUUUAUUGGGUUUAAAGGGAGCGCAGGCGGAGAUGCAAGCGUGACGUCAAAUUUCGGGGCUCAACCCCGUCUCGCGUCGCGAACUGCGUCCCUUGGUUGCGGGAAGGGGAGGCGGAACUCGUGGUGUAGCGGUGAAAUGCAUAGAUAUCACGAAGAACUCCGAUCGCGAAGGCAGCCUUCCGGCCCGUCAACGACGCGCAUGCUCGAAGGUGCGGGUAUCAAACAGGAUUAGAUACCCUGGUAGUCCGCACAGUAAACGAUGGACACCCGCGGUUUGGCCUAUAUGGCUGAGCCGCCAAGCGAAAGCGUUAAGUGUCCCACCUGGGGAGUACGCCGGCAACGGUGAAACUCAAAGGAAUUGACGGGG
rnacentral:rRNA from 1 species